rnacentral:rRNA from 1 species
GACGAACCACACAAACGUUAUUCGGAAUUACUGGGCUUAAAGGGUGCGUAGGCGGUCGGGUAAGUCUGAUGUGAAAUCUCACAGCUUAACUGUGAAACUGCAUUGGAUACUAUCCGGCCUCGAGGAAUGGGAGGGGAGACUGGAAUACUUGGUGUAGCAGUGAAAUGCGUAGAUAUCAAGUGGAACACCAGUGGCGAAGGCGAGUCUCUGGACAUUUCCUGACGCUGAGGCACGAAAGCCAGGGGAGCAAACGGG